UACAACUUUCAACAACGGAUAUNCGGCUCUCGCAUCGAUGAAGAACGCAGCGAAAUGCGAUACGUAAUGUGAAUUGCAGAAUUCAGUGAAUCAUCGAAUCUUUGAAUGCACCUUGCGCCCCUUGGCAUUCCGAGGGGCACACCCGUUUGAGUGUCGUGA
rnacentral:rRNA from 1 species